GAUGAACGCUGGCGGCGUGCCUAAUACAUGCAAGUCGAGCGAACAGACGAGGAGCUUGCUCCUCUGACGUUAGCGGCGGACGGGUGAGUAACACGUGGAUAACCUACCUAUAAGACUGGGAUAACUUCGGGAAACCGGAGCUAAUACCGGAUAAUAUAUAGAACCGCAUGGUUCAAUAGUGAAAGACGGUUUUGCUGUCACUUAUAGAUGGAUCCGCGCCGCAUUAGCUAGUUGGUAAGGUAACGGCUUACCAAGGCGACGAUGCGUAGCCGACCUGAGAGGGUGAUCGGCCACACUGGAACUGAGACACGGUCCAGACUCCUACGGGAGGCAGCAGUAGGGAAUCUUCCGCAAAGGGCGAAAGCCUGACGGAGCAACGCCGCGUGAGUGAUGAAGGUCUUCGGAUCGUAAAACUCUGUUAUUAGGGAAGAACAAAUGUGUAAGUAACUAUGCACGUCUUGACGGUACCUAAUCAGAAAGCCACGGCUAACUACGUG
rnacentral:rRNA from 1 species